rnacentral:rRNA from 1 species
GACAUAGGUGGCAAACGUUAUCCGAAUUUAUUGGGCGUAAAGGAUGCGUAGGUGGUAAAGCAAGUUAUUAGUAGAAGUUAAGCUCAACUUAGCAGAAGCUAGUAAUACUACUCUACUUUGAGGACAAGGGAAGUUAAUGGAAUUCGAUGUGGAGCGGUGAAAUGCGUUGAUAUAUCGAGGAACACCAAAAGGCGAAAGCAAUUAACUAUCUUGUUCCUGACACUGAGGCAUGAAAGCGUGGGGAGCAAACCGG